rnacentral:rRNA from 1 species
CGAGCUAGAGAGGCUUGCUUCUCUUGAGAGCGGCGGACGGGUGAGUAAUGCCUAGGAAUCUGCCUGGUAGUGGGGGAUAACGUUCGGAAACGGACGCUAAUACCGCAUACGUCCUACGGGAGAAAGCAGGGGACCUUCGGGCCUUGCGCUAUCAGAUGAGCCUAGGUCGGAUUAGCUAGUUGGUGGGGUAAUGGCUCACCAAGGCGACGAUCCGUAACUGGUCUGAGAGGAUGAUCAGUCACACUGGAACUGAGACACGGUCCAGACUCCUACGGGAGGCAGCAGUGGGGAAUAUUGGACAAUGGGCGAAAGCCUGAUCCAGCCAUGCCGCGUGUGUGAAGAAGGUCUUCGGAUUGUAAAGCACUUUAAGUUGGGAGGAAGGGUUGUAGAUUAAUACUCUGCAAUUUUGACGUUACCGACAGAAUAAGCACCGGCUAACUCUGUGCCAGCAGCCGCGGUAAUACAGAGGGUGCAAGCGUUAAUCGGAAUUACUGGGCGUAAAGCGCGCGUAGGUGGUUUGUUAAGUUGGAUGUGAAAUCCCCGGGCUCAACCUGGGAACUGCAUUCAAAACUGACUGACUAGAGUAUGGUAGAGGGUGGUGGAAUUUCCUGUGUAGCGGUGAAAUGCGUAGAUAUAGGAAGGAACACCAGUGGCGAAGGCGACCACCUGGACUAAUACUGACACUGAGGUGCGAAAGCGUGGGGAGCAAACAGGAUUAGAUACCCUGGUAGUCCACGCCGUAAACGAUGUCAACUAGCCGUUGGAAGCCUUGAGCUUUUAGUGGCGCAGCUAACGCAUUAAGUUGACCGCCUGGGGAGUACGGCCGC